UAAUCUCACAUCUAUCUCCAUAUCGCUCUUGCUUUUCCGCCGCAACCCGGUCCUAAUCUCGGCGAAGGUAGUUUUCCAUCGCAGCUCUGCCCUAAAAUCGAGGCAGGUAUCUUCUUCCUUGUGUCGUCCUAGCUCUACUCGAGAUAGAAUUUUAGAUUUGUUGAUGUUUAUGGAUAACACUUGAUGAAAUUUAGACUCCUUUUGAGAUUUUGAAGAUUGAAGUUACAAGUCAAGAUGCAAGUUUAGAAGAUGCACAAACUCAUUAUUAUUUUGCUAUGAAUGUUAUGGAAUACUUGAUAUUAUAGUCUAGCUAAGAUGUUAGCUAAG